rnacentral:rRNA from 1 species
CCUACGGGAGGCAGCAGUGAGGAAUAUUGGUCAAUGGGCGUAAGCCUGAACCAGCCAAGUCGCGUGAGGGAUGAAGGUUCUAUGGAUCGUAAACCUCUUUUAUAAGGGAAUAAAGUGCGGGACGUGUCCCGUUUUGCAUGUACCUCAUGAAUAAGGAUCGGCUAACUCCGUGCCAGCAGCCGCGGUAAUACGGAGGAUCCGAGCGUUAUCCGGAUUUAUUGGGUUUAAAGGGUGCGUAGGCGGCCUUUUAAGUCAGCGGUGAAAGGCUGUGGCUCAACCAUAGCAUUGCAGUUGAAACUGGGAGGCUUGAGUAUGUGUGAGGUAGGCGGAAUGCGGGGUGUAGCGGUGAAAUGCUUAGAUAUCACGCAGAACCCCGAUUGCGAAGGCAGCCUGCCAAGCCAUGACUGACGCUGAUGCACGAAAGCGUGGGGAUCAAACAGGAUUAGAUACCCUAGUAGUC